GACGAACGCUGGCGGCGUGCUUAACACAUGCAAGUCGAACGGAAAGGCUCCAGCUUGCUGGAGUACUCGAGUGGCGAACGGGUGAGUAACACGUGGGUAAUCUGCCCUGCACUCUGGGAUAAGCCUGGGAAACUGGGUCUAGUACUGGAUAUGACCUUUCUCCUUAUGGGGUUUGGUGGAAAGUUUUUCGGUGUAGGAUGAGCCCGCGGCCUAUCAGCUUGUUGGUGGGGUGAUGGCCUACCAAGGCGACGACGGGUAGCCGGCCUGAGAGGGUGAUCGGCCACAUUGGGACUGAGAUACGGCCCAGACUCCUACGGGAGGCAGCAGUGGGGAAUAUUGCACAAUGGGCGGAAGCCUGAUGCAGCGACGCCGCGUGAGGGAUGACGGCCUUCGGGUUGUAAACCUCUUUCAGCAGGAACGAAGCGUAAGUGACGGUACCUGCAGAAGAAGCACCGGCUAACUAUGUG
rnacentral:rRNA from 1 species